AGCCCCGUCAUCUAGUGGCCAAGGAUCGCGGGCUCUGGACCCGUGUACGUCGGUUCGAAUCCGACCGGGGCUA
rnacentral:tRNA from 1 species